rnacentral:rRNA from 1 species
GCUGACGACCGGCGCACGGGUGCGUAACGCGUAUAGAAUCUACCUUAUACUGGGGGAUAGCCUUUGGAAACGAAGAUUAAUACCCCAUAGUAUGUUUGAAUGGCAUCAUUUGGACAUUAAAGUUUUGGCGGUAUAAGAUGACUAUGCGUUCUAUUAGUUAGUUGGUAAGGUAACGGCUUACCAAGACUACGAUAGAUAGGGGUCCUGAGAGGGAGAUCCCCCACACUGGUACUGAGACACGGACCAGACUCCUACGGGAGGCAGCAGUGAGGAAUAUUGGACAAUGGAGGCAACUCUGAUCCAGCCAUGCCGCGUGUAGGAAGACUGCCCUAUGGGUUGUAAACUACUUUUAUAUGGGAAGAAUAAGGUCUACGUGUAGACUGAUGACGGUACCAUAAGAAUAAGCACCGGCUAACUCCGUGCCAGCAGCCGCGGUAAUACGGAGGGUGCAAGCGUUAUCCGGAAUCAUUGGGUUUAAAGGGUCCGUAGGCGGGCAUAUAAGUCAGUGGUGAAAGUCUGUGGCUCAACCAUAGAAUUGCCAUUGAUACUGUAUGUCUUGAAUUAUUGUGAAGUGGUUAGAAUAUGUAGUGUAGCGGUGAAAUGCUUAGAGAUUACAUAGAAUACCGAUUGCGAAGGCAGAUCACUAACAAUAUAUUGACGCUGAUGGACGAAAGCGUAGGUAGCGAACAGGAUUAGAUACCCUGGUAGUCUACGCCGUAAACGAUGGAUACUAGUUGUUUGGCCUUCGGGCUGAGUGACUAAGCGAAAGUGAUAAGUAUCCCACCUGGGGGAGUACGUUCGCAAGAAUGAAACUCAAAGGAAUUGACGGGGGCCCGCACAAGCGGUGGAGCAUGUGGGUUUAAUUCGAUGAUACGCGAGGAACCUUACCAGGGCUUAAAUGUAGUCUGACAGCUCUAGAGAUAGAGUUUUCUUCGGACAGAUUACAAGGUGCUGCAUGGUUGUCGUCAGCUCGUGCCGUGAGGUGUCAGGUUAAGUCCUAUAACGAGCGCAACCCCUGUGGUUAGUUGCCAGCGAGUAAUGUCGGGAACUCUAGCCAGACUGCCGGUGCAAACCGUGAGGAAGGUGGGGAUGACGUCAAAUCAUCACGGCCCUUACGUCCUGGGCCACACACGUGCUACAAUGGUAGGGACAGAGAGCAGCCACUUAGCGAUAAGGAGCGAAUCUAUAAACCCUAUCUCAGUUCGGAUUGGAGUCUGCAACUCGACUCCAUGAAGCUGGAAUCGCUAGUAAUCGGAUAUCAGCCAUGA